AAGCAGACAGGGCUGCAAGGAAACCUGGUGCGGUUCAAUACCUUGUCUAGCCUGGGCUCCAGGAUCUUUUUUUUUUUUUUUUUUUUAAACUGACAAACUCAUUUUUCUACUGGGACAGGAUGCUGUGCUGGCUGAAGUUCCAUUUCUACAGCAAGAAUCCUAUCUGGAAGCACAGAAGUUGUCCUCUAGCCACAGCAGCUCCAACUUUUUUGUUGUUGCUGCUUUCUUCUAUCACCCCCUUCCCCUUUUGACAAAGAUCCAACUGUAGAAAGUCUUACGUAACAGUUCAGGACUACUUCGGUUCUUUUACCGGUGAAAUGAAGCUGUGAUAAUGUGGUAAAUAUGGGGAGACACCAAGCUGUGGCUCUUGCGGACUUCAGCAGCACUGAAAUGCAACACUGUGGGCUUUUGGCAGCUGCAUUCCGUACUCUGAAAUUCUUAUAUCAUUACUCUGGUAAGGGCCUAUCACCAAGUCAGCUUGGGUUCUGAUGUGGUUUAAAAGAAAGAAUUUUUAAAAACUUAAUGAAUACUCAUUACAUGCUACAGGAAAUAUUUCAUUCCAGGUUCUUUUUAAAGGACAGAGCAGUAUUUCCAAGUUACUAAAGAAAUAACUUUUGUAGUAUAGCAUGCCUGUAUUUUAGCACUC
ensembl:antisense Nr6a1os nuclear receptor subfamily 6, group A, member 1, opposite strand